rnacentral:rRNA from 2 species
UGGGGAAUAUUGCACAAUGGAGGGAACUCUGAUGCAGCGACGCCGCGUGAACGAAGAAGGCUUUCGAGUCGUAAAGUUCUUUUAUAUGGGAAGAUAAUGACGGUACCAUAAGAAAAAGCCCCGGCUAACUACGUGCCAGCAGCCGCGGUAAUACGUAGGGGGCUAGCGUUGUCCGGAAUCACUGGGCGUAAAGGGUUCGCAGGCGGAAAUGCAAGUAAGGUGUAAAAGGCAGUAGCUUAACUACUGUAAGCAUUUGAAACUGCAUAUCUUGAGAAGAGUAGAGGUAAGUGGAAUUUUUAGUGUAGCGGUGAAAUGCGUAGAUAUUAAAAAGAAUACCGGUGGCGAAGGCGACUUACUGGGCUCAUUCUGACGCUGAGGAACGAAAGCGUGGGUAGCAAACAGG